CAGCUGGUUAAUAGUCUGCCCCGAUCUGCAUCAGACCUUUCUGGCAAUGGCCUCCUCCCCUUGUCAUGCAAAUGGAAAAGCACUGGAUGCACCUUUGCCAUUAGAUGUUUCUGCAGUGCAGGCCUCUCUUACCUCCUGAACUCCUUUAUUUAGAGCCUGAUGUUAGAAACAAAGGAUAAAAGGGUGUUUUUACCUUUGAGUUAGCCUGUUUUGGGAGUGUUUAAAUCUACUUUUCUUCACCAAAGCUCUCCGUGUCUUGGCAAAUAUGACAAGUGCAAAUAGGCUGGAACCUCAUUAUAAUCAUUGCAGCAGUGGCACUGAAUUCCAUAUUAGGAGAAUCGGGAUAUCCCUCAGUCGGUUACAAGCUGCCCGAUAGCAGGGCUCAGUGUUACUGCAGUAUGCACUCUCCCAACACUGAGGUCUACAAGGUGAAGGGGCUGCUUCUGAAAUGGAAUUGAACACAAAGGACUUUAUAUUGAAAUAGCAAAGGGAUGCCUUUGCUUCCAGAGAGGUCGCCUUGUGGACUAUACAGGCCACAAUCCAGACAAUACCGCCGCUGUGGAAUUCUGGAACCCAUAUGAUGGGCAGCAACACUAUCCUAAUUUUGCUAUGAGCCAUAACAAACCAUACUACUCAAGAACAAGGGUGGCAGAAACAGUAGCUCUCCGACAUCCUAAAAGUUUCCCAAUGACCUGAGCG
rnacentral:lncRNA from 1 species